rnacentral:rRNA from 1 species
AAGCAAGGAAACUUACAACAAAGAGUCCCUCCCGACUGUUUACCAAAAACACAGCACUCUGCUAACUCGUAAGAGGAUGUAUAGGGUGUGACGCCUGCCCGGUGCUCGAAGGUUAAUUGAUGGGGUUAGCAUUAGCGAAGCUCUUGAUCGAAGCCCGAGUAAACGGCGGCCGUAACUAUAACGGUCCUAAGGUAGCGAAAUUCCUUGUCGGUUAAAUACCGACCUGCAUGAAUGGCGUAACGAGAUGGGAGCUGUCUCAAAGAGGGAUCCAGUGAAAUUGUAGUGGAGGUGAAAAUUCCUCCUACCCGCGGCAAGACGGAGAGACCCCGUGGACCUUUACUACAGCUUGACACUGCUAUUUGGAUAAGAAUGUGCAGGAUAGGUGGGAGGCUUUGAGUAUAUGACGCCAGUUGUAUAUGAGCCAUUGUUGAGAUACCACUCUUUCUUAUUUGGGUAGCUAACCAGCUUGAGUUAUCCUCAAGUGGGACAAUGUCUGGUGGGUAGUUUGACUGGGGCGGUCGCCUCCCAAAUAAUAACGGAGGCUUACAAAGGUUGGCUCAGAACGGUUGGAAAUCGUUCGUAGAGUAUAAAGGUAUAAGCCAGCUUAACUGCAAGACAUACAAGUCAAGCAGAGACGAAAGUCGGUCUUAGUGAUCCGGUGGUUCUGUGUGGAAGGGCCAUCGCUCAAAGGAUAAAAGGUACCCCGGGGAUAACAGGCUGAUCUCCCCCAAGAGCUCACAUCGACGGGGAGGUUUGGCACCUCGAUGUCGGCUCAUCGCAUCCUGGGGCUGGAGCAGGUCCCAAGGGUAUGGCUGUUCGCCAUUUAAAGCGGUACGCGAGCUGGGUUCAGAACGUCGUGAGACAGUUCGGUCCCUAUCUGCCGUGGGCGUAAGAAGAUUGAAGAGAUUUGACCCUAGUACGAGAGGACCGGGUUGAACAAACCACUGGUGUAGCUGUUGUUCUGCCAAGAGCAUCGCAGCGUAGCUAAGUUUGGAAAGGAUAAACGCUGAAAGCAUCUAAGCGUGAAGCCAACUCUAAGAUGAAUCUUCUCUAAGCUCUCUAGAAGACUACUAGUUUGAUAGGCUGGGUGUGUAAUGGAUGAAAGUCCUUUAGCUGACCAGUACUAAUAGAGCGUUUGGCUUAUCUUUAAUAAAGCAU